CACGUAGGGCGCAAGCGUUGUCCGGAAUUAUUGGGCGUAAAGAGCGUGUAGGCGGCCAGGUAGGUCUGCUGUGAAAACUCGAGGCUCAACCUCGAGACGUCGGCGGAAACCAUCUGGCUAGAGUCCGGAAGAGGAGAGUGGAAUUCCUGGUGUAGCGGUGAAAUGCGCAGAUAUCAGGAAGAACACCCGUGGCGAAGGCGGCUCUCUGGGACGGUACUGACGCUGAGACGCGAAAGCGUGGGAGCAAACGGG
rnacentral:rRNA from 1 species